rnacentral:lncRNA from 1 species
UAGUCUCUCUCUCUGGACCACAGAUCUCCUUGAGGUUCUGUUAUUUACAGUUUUCUUUUGAUGAUCUCUUCUGUCUCUCUGUUUCUCUCUAUUUUAUUCAAUUGGUUUAAGGUUAAUAAUAUUGAUUAUUAGUUCUAAGUCAAGGUAGGAUCCUGUUGUAUUCUAUCUGCAUAUCCGAAAAUUGAUGAAUAGCAGCUAGUGUGCAGUUAAGAGACUGAUCCUCGUAGUAGAAGAAUUAUCUUCAGUAUUCUUCCUGGAGACUCCAUACUGAUUCACUGAUUGCAGGGAUAGUCAAAUAAAGUAGUUCAAUUGUGAUUCUCCCUUUAAUUUUCAACAAAGGCUGCGCCUCAUGUUCCUUUCACAACAAAAGGGACAACCCCCAGCAAAUCCUCUUUCUUUACUCAUCCACUUCUAGAAGUACCGCUCCUGUGACACCCUCCAAAUGGGGUUGUCACCGCCGCCACAUGCUUCUGGGCCUUGUAUUACUUUGAAUUGAGUUCGUUAUUGACCCUGUUUCGUUUCUACACAGUGCUGGACCCCCUUGUCGCUGUUUUUGGUGGUGGCGGUGGCAGCUGCAUCAUCAGCAACAUCAGCAACAUCAGCAGCAGCAUGUCUGGUUCCGUGCUCAUUCGGUCUGGACUGGUGAGUGGAUUGCAAUUUUUGUUGUCUUUCCUGGAUUUGAUGACUGAUAAGGUUACUCAUAUAUGUGCUCCAAACACUUGGUUGGAGUCUUGGACCCAGCUCCUUAGGUUGGUUACAAUCAGGCCAGGCCGCACCUUGGCACCAAAGAACUCGACCAAGCUGCUCGGCCUGGCCUAGUCUGUGGUCAAAUGGUUGUAUUAUAGUGUCUUACACAUGGGCCUUCUUUUUUCUAAACCUGUGGAUGCAAAUAAAAGUCGGUGUAAUGGCCAUCUUUAAAAAUUCCGUCUCAUAGGGAUGUGAAGUAACUAACAUGACAGUGACUGCGGUUGUGCAUCUUAGCUUUAUAUUAAUGUCUCAAAGCGUAUAAAGUAUGAUUUAUGAACAGAAUAAUAUGCCGACAUUAUUGAGAUUUGAGGGAUUAAAGUAUAAGAAAACGUGUUGUUGGAGAAAGAGGACAAAAGGGGUAUUAGUUUUGUUAAUCCUAGAAGCCUGUAUCUUACGAGUAUGCUUAGUUUAAGCUAAUAUCGGUAUCUACGGUGGACCUCGUGCUAAGAGUCCUUUGUUUGGCUUCUGGGAAAAUGUUCAUGAUCUUGGUUCUAACCUCAAUUUGAAUGUCUUGUAGCUGGUGAUGGUGAUGGUGAUGUUGGUGCUAGUGCUGGUUGAAGUCUUGGAAAUGGAUUAGGGAUUUGAAGAACAAGAGCCGAGAAACCGACAUUGUUGUUAUUAACUUUAUUAGCUUAAUCACAUACUAAUAUUUUUUUCUUAAUUAUUCUAAAGUUCGUGUUUUAAGAAGGGUCUUGAAAUCCCAACUGUACUUGAUUCUUUCUGUUUCUUGAAGGAUGUCAAGUUGUUGUCUUACAUCGGAAAAUGUAAGGUUUCUAACUCGGUCUUGGGUCGACUCUGACUCGGGAGCUAACUCGGUCUAAC